rnacentral:lncRNA from 1 species
UGGGAAAGGCAGCGGAGCACAACAGACACUAGUAUGGCAAUAUGUAAAUCAAUGGAUGUGUAACUGAUGUGAUUCUGCAAUCUGUGUAUGGGGUGAAGGUGGGAGUUCAUAACCCACUUGAAUCAAAGUGUGGAAUAUGAUAUGUCAAGAAAUUUGUAAUGUUUUGAAUAACCAACAAUAAAAAAUUUCCUUAAAAAAAAGAAAGAAAGAAAAUAAUAAAAUUAAAGCACAAAUCAGUAAAAUAGAAAAUAAACAGCAGAGAAAAGCAAUGAAACCUGAAAGCCAGUUAUUUGAGAGUAAAAUUGAUGAGACCUUUUCCAGUCAGUCAGGAGAAAGAAUAAAGAUUACCAGUACUGGGAAUGAGAGAUACCACAAACUACAGGUAUUAAAAGGAUAAUAAGAGAAUACUAUAUUAAAUUUAUUCCAGUAAAUCUGCAACUUAGGUGAAAUGGACAAAUUGCUUGAAAACUACCAAAACCUUCUCAAGAAGAACCAGGUAACGUGAAUAGCCUAUACUUACUGAGGAAAGUGAAGUGAAAACCUUUACAAAGAAAAUUCCUUUUUUGCCUUUUUGGAGAUGCAACCCAGUACACAAUUGCUCUGCCACUGAGCUACACCCCCAGAUCCCCAAAAGAGAAAAUUCUGAGGCCCAGAUUUCAGUGGUGAAUUCUACCAAUCACUUAAGAAAGAAAGAAUACUAAUUCUACGUGAACUGUUACAGAAGAUGAAAGAUUCCAGCUCAUUCUUUGAGGCCAUCAUUACCCUGAUAGGAAAACUAGACACAGACAUACAAGAAAAGAAAACUACAGAUUGAUAUCCUUAUGACCAUAGUUGUAAAAAUCCUAAGCAACGUUUUAGCAAACUGAAUCCAACAAUAUAUAAAAGGUCAGUGCAUCCUAACCAUUUGAAGUUCAUCCCAGGAACAUAAGGUUAGAUUAACAUUUUUAAAAAUUCAAUAAAUGUAGUUCACCAUGUUAACAAACUAAAAAAGAUAAACUGCAUCAUUAUCUUAGUAGACUCAAAAAGCUUUUGGCAUAAUUCAACUCUAUUUGAAUGGGAUAAUUAAGUUCUAUUCCUGAUGAAAACUUUUAAGAGAAUCUGAAAAACUGACGGCCAGCAUCACACUUACUACUGAAAGAUUGAUCAAUUUUCCCCUAAGAUCAAGAAUGAGGCAAGAUGUCUAUGAUUUGCG